rnacentral:rRNA from 1 species
CACUUCUAAGGAAGGCAGCAGGCGCGCAAAUUACCCAAUCCUGACUCAGGGAGGUAGUGACAAGAAAUAACAAUAAACCGGCUUAUGCCGGUUUAAUUGGAAUGAGUACAAUUUAAACAUCUUAACGAGGAACAAUUGGAGGGCAAGUCUGGUGCCAGCAGCCGCGGUAAUUCCAGCUCCAAUAGCGUAUACUAAAGUUGUUGCAGUUAAAAAGCUCGUAGUUGGAUUUCUGUGGGGACGGAGCGGCCGGCCGCAACUCGCGGUUCGAGCUAGCGCUUUCCCUACAUCCUGCCGCGAACCGUGCUACCAUUAGUUUGGUGGCGCCGGGGAUCGGCUCGAUUACUUUGAGAAAAAUAGAGUGUUCAAAGCAGGCCACAUGCCUUGAAUAAGUUAGCAUGGAAUAAUAACUAAGGACUUCGGUUCUAUUUUGUUGGUGUUCGGGACUGAAGUAAUGAUUGAUAGGGACAGUUGGGGCGGUCUGUAUUCCAAAGCGAGAGGUGAAAUUCUUAGACCUUCGGAAGACAAACAGCUGCGAAAGCGUUCCGCAAGGAUGUUCCCUUUGAUCAAGAACGAAAGUUGGGGGAUCGAAGACGAUCAGAUACCGUCGUAGUCUCAACUAUAAACUAUACCAGCUAGGGAUCGGCCAACGUUAUUUCAAACCGACUUGGUCGGCACCUUAUGAGAAAUCAAAGCAUCUGGGUUCCGGGGGGAGUAUGGUCGCAAGGCUGAAACUUAAAGGAAUUGACGGAAGGGCACCACCAGCCGUGGAGCCUGUGGCUUAAUUUGACUCAACACGGGAAAACUUACCAGGUCCAGACAUAGUAAGGAUUGACAGAUUGAUAGCUCUUUCUUGAUUCUGUGGGUGGUGGUGCAUGGCCGUUCUUAGUUGGUGGAGUGAUUUGUCUGGUUAAUUCCGUUAACGAACGAGACCCCAGCCUGCUAAAUAGCGCGCGUGAGCUUUGCUCGCGGCGAGCUUCUUAGAGGGACUCUGAUGCGCGAUAGCACAUGGAAGUUUGGGGCAAUAACAGGUCUGUGAUGCCCUUAGAUGUUCUGGGCCGCACACGGGCUACACUGGCGCCUGCAUCGAGCAUAUCAGCUGGCCCGAGAGGGUCUUGGCUAAUCUUUUGAACCGGCGCCGUGCUUGGGAUUGACCUUUGCAAUUGUUGGUCAUGCAACGAGGAAUGCCUUGUAAACGCGAGUCAUCAGCUCGCAUUGAAUACGUCCCUGCCCUUUGUACACACCGCCCGUCGCUCCUACCGAUGAAUGUUCCGAUGAAAUUUUCGGAGAGCACCUGUGAACUUGGCUCUGCCUUGCGAACGGGAGGCUCAAAGUCACUUAAAUCUGAACAUUUCGAGG